rfam:Flavobacteriales bacterium BRH_c54 BRHa_1001087, whole genome shotgun sequence.
AAUUAUCGAAGGAUAUUGACCUUAAUUCAUAAUU